rnacentral:tRNA from 1 species
ACUUUUUUAGUAUAAAUAUUAUAUUUGACUUCCAAUCAAAAGAUCUUAUAAACAUUAAGAAAAAGUA